rnacentral:lncRNA from 13 species
AAUGCACCUGCUCAUCUCAUUCCUGAGUCAUGGUCAUGUUGAUGUUAUAGCCUACACAUGAGCUCAUAUGUGCGGGAAAUAACUCACUAUGUGAAUAUUUUGGAGACUUAUAUAAUUAUGUAGGCUAGCUUAUAUUAUAUGGGCCAGAACUUGGACGCUGUAGUCUUUAUUAUGCGAUUAAUGGCUCAUUGCUGUUUACCGAGCGCAGUGGACUUCCCCCUGCCAAACAGUGACUGCGCAUGGACUGGAUCACGUGGGAGGUCCCUUUAAGUUUCCAUUGAAAGGCUUGGCCAUGUCACAUGAUGGACAUGAUAUAAUGAAAUAGCAGGAAAACAGAGACCGAGUGUACCCUGAGCUGAUUAAAAAAAAAAUCUACGCACUCAUCUGCAAUAGCACCAUCGCAAUUGCCUCGGAGCAACUGGGGACCAUGUCGGGGACAGGGGCGGUCCAGAAUACGUCCCCAUCGGACGGGACAUGUCUGUCGAUUCGCGAUUGUACCUGCAGCUAUUAAGCACUUUUUGAAGGGAAAGUGCGUGUUUAUUCCAUCCAUCUACCUGGGAGCGGAAUCGGUGCUCAUCUCACGUUGUAUCUCUAUGGCGCUGACUGUGCUGCUUCCAGACCUUUCUUUAGCUCAAGGCCUUUGCUUUGACUCCACGGCAACCAGCGCCAGACACUUGUCAUGCCCUUGUUGUCAUGCCCCACUGGCCGCCACUGAGCUGGGGACAGGGAGGCAGGGGAUCAGAGCUGAGGCAACAACAGACCUCAGGCACUCUGUUCCAGACUUAUCAGUCUCAUCACUCACAAUGUUGUGCAAGUACAUCAUCCAAUAGAUAGCAACAGCAAACAUGCCUAAACUAAUACAGUCAAACAAGACGAAGGAAGAGGAAGAGAGAGAGAGACUGAGGGAGAUGAUCAUUUGGGCAAAAGACUGUCCUCUUCUUGACUCCUCCGUCCUCUUACCUCUGUGAACCGGAAACCGAUAACCGGGGGGUGUCAAAUCAUUAGUACACGAAUGAAGGAGGCUGCUUCUCUCCCUGAUUACCAGAAAAUGCUCAAGAAUGUCCUUGUGGCAGGAAGUGUGGAACUGUUCUAUAAUUUGCCACAUCCCCUUUGAAUCAGCUGUUGUUUUCUAGAAGAAGAAAAGCAAUUACACAUUUAAAAACAAUAUGCUGCUUAUCCUUUUAUCUGAAAAAUGUCUUGCACAACUAGCCAUUAUUACAUUUUUGAUCAAUCUACAUAUUUAUAAAUGUAAUAUGCCUGAUGACGCGCGAGUGGAAGAGUGCCUCAUUUCAUGCAAAAGCACAUUUGUUUCCACAUUUCCUCUCCUCCCCUCCCAUCUUCUCCCCGAUUACCUUUGAACUUGUUCAAAAGAGGCGGGGAGAGAACGGAGGACGGAGGAGGUAGCUAAACCAAUAGAGGAUCUCCCUGAGGGGGAGACUGAGAACGUGAUUGAGUGAAAAGGAGAGUGGGAGAACCGACAACAGGGAGGGAAAGAGAGAUGCACAGAAAAGAGAGAGAUAAGGAGCCAGGCUUGGCAAACAGAGUAAAGAGGGGAGGCUUUAAAANNNNNNNNNNCGCUCUCACUCUCUCUUUCUAUCUCCAUGGAGCUGUGUCGUCUCCCAGAGACUACAUGAAAUGUGAUGACUGGGGAGGACUUUGGUUCCCAGUAUGAGAUGGAAACAGGGUUACACGGGGAUAGAAACUGGGUGGGUCACUCACUCACUCACUCAGACAGGUCCUCAGAUCGUUGAUCAUUACAUUCGUCACACCCAUUUCCAGGCGUGACUGGCCUAGAUUGAUGAGUGACUGGCCUAGAUUGAUGAAAAUGGACGUGGAACACUUACCAUUUUAAGAC